rnacentral:rRNA from 1 species
UACGAAGGGGGCUAGCGUUGCUCGGAAUCACUGGGCGUAAAGCGCACGUAGGCGGCUUCUUAAGUCAGGGUGAAAUCCUGGAGCUCAACUCCAGAACUGCCUUUGAUACUGAGGAGCUUGAGUCCGGGGAGAGGUGAGUGGAACUCCUGGUGUAGCGGUGGAAUGCGCAGAUAUCAGGAAGAACACCGACGGCGAAGGCAGCUCGCUGGGACGGUACUGACGCUGAGGCGCGAAAGCGUGGGGAGCGAACAGG